GACGAACGCUGGCGGCGUGCUUAACACAUGCAAGUCGAACGGAAAGGCCCUGCUUUUGUGGGGUGCUCGAGUGGCGAACGGGUGAGUAACACGUGAGUAACCUGCCCUUUACUUUGGGAUAACUUCAGGAAACUGGGGCUAAUACCGGAUAGGAGCUCCUGCUGCAUGGUGGGGGUUGGAAAGUUUCGGCGGUUGGGGAUGUACUCGCGGCUUAUCAGCUUGUUGGUGGGGUAGUGGCUUACCAAGGCUUUGACGGGUAGCCGGCCUGAGAGGGUGACCGGCCACAUUGGGACUGAGAUACGGCCCAGACUCCUACGGGAGGCAGCAGUGGGGAAUAUUGCACAAUGGGCGGAAGCAUGAUGCAGCAACGCCGCGUGCGGGAUGACGGCCUUCGGGUUGUAAACCGCUUUCGCCUGUGACGAAGCGUGAGUGACGGUAAUGGGUAAAGAAGCACCGGCUAACUACGUG
rnacentral:rRNA from 1 species